rnacentral:rRNA from 1 species
CAGCCGUAAACUAUGCGCGUUAGGUGUAUCGGUGACCACGAGUCACCGAGGUGCCGAAGGGAAACCGUGAAACGUGCCGCCUGGGAAGUACGGCCGCAAGGCUGAAACUUAAAGGAAUUGGCGGGGGAGCACCACAAGGGGUGAAGCUUGCGGUUUAAUUGGAUUCAACGCCGGAAAUCUUACCGGGACCGACAGCAACAUGAAGGCCAAGCUGAAGACUUUGCCGGAUUAGCUGAGAGGAGGUGCAUGGCGUAGUCGUGU